GCGAGAUUAGUACAAUGGUAGUAUGAUUCCUUCCCAAGGAAUAGACGCGAGUUCGAUUCUCGUAUCUCGCU
rnacentral:tRNA from 1 species